AUGUCAUCUGGGACUUGAGAUGAGCAGAGGAACAUGGUCCCCUGGAGUACAAGAGCCAGAUUAGAGAAGGUGGCUUCUAGCAUGGGAUCUAUAUUGGCCAUAUUUGAGGCCUCCUGGCCUCUGAGUAUCUGGCUCUCCCUCUCCUCCCUCUGCUUGUUCUGUCUAUGUGACUGUUUGCUGUAAAAUAUGGGCUAGAUGCUACUUCCAAGAGCUGGCUGUCCCAAGUAAAGGCAUCUCUCUCUGCUGUCAGUGAGACCUUAGCAGAGCAUCAAGAUCACAGAACAGUAAAUAAACAACCACAGCACAGUCGACAUGGUUGCUGAAUGGAUGAAUGAUAAAAAACAAACAAACAGGGGUUGGGGGUUUAGCUCAGUGGUAGAGCGCUUGCCUAGGAAGCACAAGGCCCUGGGUACGGUCCCCAGCUCCGGAAAAAAAAAAAAAAAGAACCAACCAACCAAACAAACAAAAACAACAAAAAACAAACAAACAAAAGGAGAACAUGACUGCUCCUAGGGAUGGUGGAGAAGUAUUAUUGUCCAUGUGAAGGAGAACGUAGCUGGAGGCAGAGGCAUCUGGGAGAGUGCAGCCUGAGGGAUACCAGCAAACAGUCACAUAGACAGAGCAAGCAGAGGGAGGAGAGGGAGAGCCAGAAACUCAGAGGCUAGGAGGCCUCCAAAGGGUUCAAAAAGGCAAAAGAGUGCAUAGCCAAAAUGGCUGGGUUACAUGGGGAAGAGCAGCUGGUGGAAGGGUAACCCUGCCCAGUCCCCGAGGCUGGCAGACAGAGGGCUCUAGAACAGCUAAGGGACUGAGAGAUUCUGAGAGAACCUGGGGGCCAGCAUCAGCUUUGAUGUGUUAAUGGACAUCUUAGUUGUGGGAGUGGUUCACCUCAUGCCUCGGUCUUUUUGCUGAGGUUGAGGAAGGACAAAAGGCCAUAAAGGGUGACAUAAUCUCUAACUACUUUCUGCCGAAACAGCAGUCAGUGAGGCCUCAGGGGCAGGAGUAUCAGGAUAACAGAAUAACUUAAUAAAGAACAACAUGGUUAUUGAGUGGGGAACACGGACUGCAUAGUAAACACUCGUAUUCCUGGAUCUCUUGGCCCAAACCUUCCCACGGCUCUGAAAGUACUUAAUCUAUUGGCCUGAGAAGAGUUAUUAGGUAAGUGGCCUCUCUUCCCUCGGCUCCCUGAAGAGUCUGCUUUCCCCCACCGCCUACCCUAUCAACCCGCUCCUCUCUGUUCCUGUCACACAGAAAGGUUUAACCGACCUCUUGAUAAAUAUCUCAGGGAGGUUAAGAAAAAUGGCCUUGACAGCAGCAAGGCGAUGAUGUUCACUGGAGAGAGGCAGACAGCUCUCUGUCAGAGGAAACCUUUAAAAAAAAAAAAAAAAAAAAGCAAGAAUACCAAUAAACACAAUAAUUUUAAAUGAGGGCUGUAAAUUCAGCUGUAAAAUCUCACUGAAGUCUAAUCAUGAAAAAGAAAGAAAAAAAAACCACCUCUGAAAUAAUAAACCGUGGUCUAAAUUAGAGCACUGGCAAAUGUAGUCAUUUCUACCUAAGAGGCUUUGUGUCCAAACAUGUCAUUUGAGAUCGAAGGCAGACAAAGGAGAAGGCCCUUGGUAACAAGGCAGCCAUUCAAUCCCCAGCCCUGGGGCAUUGGACUUCCUCUGUGGGCUCAAAGCAUUUUCAGCCACAUUAGGCACCAGCUCCAAACCUGGUGGGAAGCAAACUUAAGUGUCUUUUUGAGUGGGAAACAAUGAGAAAGCUGUUUUUCCACAAAAGAGGAGAAUUCUACUGCUUGCUUUUCGGAUUGGCGGACCCAGAGUCCUGAGGAGGAAAUUGGGCUGUAGCUUGUACUGCUAGUUGUUGAUUCUUAAAAGAUGUUUCGGGACUGGCAAACCUUAUCCCAAAGGAAGGAGACGUCCCAGUUUCCUUAAUAAGCACACUUCUUCCCCACCCCUGGGAAGAAUGUUUAUCCUGCUCGUAUUUAUCUUUGGGAUCCCCAAGAAUGGAUUAAAUGAGGCUAUGUGUGAACGGACCCUAUAAUUAGAUAGGGGCCUGUGCUGAUAUUUUAGGAUAAUAGACAUUUUUAAAAAAGCAUAAUGACUCAUUCACCAUCGUCACUCUCAUUGAUUCGAGACUGUCUUCAGCUGAACAUGCUACUCGGACGGCCAAAAAAACCUGUGGAGAGAAAUAGAAAUAGAGGCAUUUGGGGCAGGGCUUGGACUAGUCAUGCCUGCUCGGGGAGGAGAAAGAUGUUCAGUGCUGUGGAAGACAGGGGAAGGGAGGAAGACACGGGUGCAGAGAGAGAGUUGUGAUUACUGCUGUGAAGAGAACCACAGGUUUAAAGAGAGGGAAAAAAGGCAUUAGGCAAGAUGGUACAGGCCUGUAGUCUCGGCAGUUGGGAGAUCAAGGCGAAGGAUGGAGCAGUGUCCAUCCUGGGCUACCUAUACAAUUCAAGGCCAGCCUAGACUAUGGAGCAAAAGCUGAUUCAAAACCAACCAAACAAACAAACCGAACAAGGGGCAGGUGGUUGAAAAAUUUGCCUCUAGAGCCCAAUCUUCAAGCCACAUAAACCAGGCAGGCACGGUGGCGCUAUCUAUGAUCCUAGCACUCAGAAGACAGGGAGAGAAGAAUGACAAUUCAAGGGCGACCUCCAAUGAAUGGUUGGUUGGAAGCUAGCCUGGGCUACAUGGGGUCUUGUUUCACAAACAAACAGGGCAUAUGAGGAGGCUUGGUGAGUAAAGGUGCCUGCUUGCCAAGCCUGGUAACCCGAGUUUGAUCCUUGGGACCCGUAUGGGGGAAGGAAAGAACUACUCCCCACAGGUUGUCUGGCUUCUAUACUUGUGGUAUGAGUGCAUGCACACGUGUGCACGUGUGCAGACAUACACAAUAAAAAAAAUGUAGGGGCUGGGGAUUUAGCUCAGUGGUAGAGCGCUUACCUAGGAAGCGCAAGGCCCUGGGUUCGGUCCCCAGCUCCGAAAAAAAGAACCAAAAAAAAAAAUGUAGAAACAAAAACAAGAAAACAAGGAUGGGGGUAGUGGGAUAUAUUCAUCGUCACACAAGAACCUUAGGUGUGAGCAGAGGCUAGCCCUACAGCGAUGGUUCUCAACCUGUGGGUCUCGACCCCCAGAGGUGUUAAAUGAUCCUUUUCCCGGGGUCACAUAUCAGAUACCCUGCAUAACAGAUAUUUGCAGUUCGUAACAGUAGCUAUAUCACAGCUGUGAUAUAGCAACAGAAAUAAUUUUUAUGUUUGGGGGUGUGUGUGUGAUGGUUUAUAUAUGCUCAGCCCAGGGACUGAUAGAAAGUGUGGCCCUGUUGGAGUAGGUGUGUCACUGUGAAUGUGGGCUUUAAGACCCUUAUCCUAGCUGCCUUGGAGUAGUAUUCUGUUAGCAGCCUUCAGAGAAAGAUGUAGAAUUCUCAGCUCCUCCUGCACCAUGCCUGCCUGGAUGCUGUUAUGUCCCUGCCUUGAUGAUAAUGGACUGAACCUCUGAACCUGUAAACCACUCCAAUUAAAUGCUGUCCUUGUAAGAGUUGUCUUGGUCAUGGUGUCCGUUCACAGCAGUAAAACCCUAACUAAGACAGGGGGUUAUCACAAUGUGAGGAAAGGGUGGCUGCACUGGGAAGGUUGAGAAGUACUUCUACAGGAUGAGGUUGUGAAAGGAGAAGUGUGGUCUUUUAACUAUAUUUAUUUUUUAGUAUGUGUGUUCAUGUAAGUGUGCUGCAUGUGUAUGGAGGUCAGAGAGGAGUUCACAGAACCCAGUUUCCACCUCCUAUACGGUGUGGUCCUAGGUAUUGGCAGUGAGUGUUGUUAAUCCAACGAGCCAUCUCGCUGGCUCAGAAAUGGCUUCUUUUAUUUUUAUUUUUAAAAAAUAUUUAUUUAUUUCAUGUAUGCGAGUACACUGUCGCUGUCUUCAGACACACCAGAAGAGGGCAUCGGAUCCCAUUACAGAUGGUUGUGAGCCACCAUGUGGUUUCUGGGAUUUGAACUCAGGACCUCUGGAAGAUCAGCCAGUGCUCUUCACCACUAAGCCAUCUCUCCAGCCCCAGAAAUGGCUUCUUUUAAAGCCAAAGAAUGAUGCCCCACCCCUAUUCAUCUCUUCCACCGUGACCGCUGGCCUUAAGUGGUGGACAUGUUCAGGACUGAGCGAUGAACAGUGUGUGGGAGGGGGAGGCACCCAGCUUUGUCUGCCUUUAUCCGAGGUGCCCAGCUGGGAUCAGCGUUUACCUAAGUAGACACUGCCGAGCUCAGCAUCCUUCUUCCCAGGACCUCCUGCUCUGGGUAUAUUCUCAGGACACAUUCUCAAAUGCCCUCUACCCGGCACACUCACUCUCUGUCCUGAAUAGACAGAGCCCCGUCUAGUCCAUUAAGUAUCAGAAACAGCUCGCAGAUGUCGUUAAGGUUCCUAAUCAGUUAAACUAGAUUUAAUCAAAAGGAGGUUAUCUGGGUGGGUCUAAUCCAAUCUCGAGUACAUUGAAAGCAAAAUUUUAUUGACAGUUCGCAAAAGGGCGAGUCAGAGGGACUUAUGGGAGGAGGAAGGCUGGACGUGCCUGAAGAUGGAGGGCGUGCGCACUGUCCUCAGAGCAGCCCUGGCUGCCCACGCUCUGACGGCUGCUAGGUAACCGGACGUCAGCCUUGUAGCCGCACCGAACGAAACAUUGCUAACAAUCUGAGUGACCUCGGACUGAAGUGAGUCUCUCUCCAGGCCCUCAGCUGGCCAGCAGCAUUUUGGUGUCCCGCUGGGAGACCCAGAACACAGGCUCCAGUAGAGACUGCUGGGAUUUCCGGACCUGUGGGAAGAACUGUGGCCUCAUAUGGGGAGUUGUUUAAACAGCCAGCGGUGGUGGUCAUUUGUUACGCAGCCAUAGAAAACCAAACCAAACCCUCAGCUUCCUGAGAGUCUCCUCUGAGUGCUGAAUAAAAGUCAGUGCACUCAAAUGAAAGGAGUGUUUGGGAACCCUGGGGAGAUGAAGCUGUCAGCCAGCUGAGGCUGGCCCUGUCUAGGGAACAGAUUAAUUCCUUCUCUUUCAUCUCGGAAGAUUUUUUUUCUCAGGACCUUCCCUAUCACAAAUGACUGAGGACAUCAUCUAGAAAGCACACCUAUAGACUCCUCCCUUCUCCAGGGCCUCCAGGAUGGGCUACUGGCUGAUGGGAAAGGCAAAGGAAUCGAUCGUGUCCACUGGCUUUGACCAAGAGAUCUUUGGAAAGUUGGGGAGGGGAUGGCUUUGAAUCCCAUCAAUUCACUUUCCCAAAAACAUUGAUAUUUGGAUGUUGUACUGGCUGGUUUUGUGUGUCAACCUGACACAAGCUGGAGUUAUCACAGAGAAUGGAGCCGCCCUUGAGAUCCAACUGUAAGGCAUUUUCUCAAUUAGUAAUCAAGGGCGGGAGGGCCCAUUGUGGGUGGUACCAUCCCUGGGGUGGUGGUCUUGGGUUCUAUAAGACAGCAAGCUGAGCAAGCCAGGGGAAGCAAGCCAGUAAGUAACAUCCCUCCAUGGCCUCUGCAUCAGCUCCUGCUUCCUGACCUGCUUGAGUUCCAGUCCUGACUUCCUUUGGAGAUGAACAGCAAUGUGGAAGUCCCUGGAGUUCACUGCAAAGCACUAGGAUCCCAGACCUCAGAGGGAGAGAAAAAUCAGAAAUAUUUAAAAUGCACCCAUGGACCUCUUAGCUUCAAGUUAACUGAGUACGUUUACCUCGAAGUAUCAAGGGAUCUAUCUUUCUAGGGGGCUGACAGUGAAGUUGCAUUGACUGAUUGGAACUUUUGCCCUUCUGAGAAGUGCCCUAUGGCUACCUGUGUGCAAAAUGUAGCUCAGCCCUGUUUCAGGGUCCCCCUCAGUGUCUGCUGGAAGGAAAUGGUCUCUCCCUGGCCUGCUGCAGCUUGUCCCUGACCAUCUGCCUGGCUUUAUAUUUGGAACUUUUCCUUCAUAUCGUGUACUUCAGCUUCUCUGCUCUGGACUUGUUCUGUCUCUUUGGGGCCCUGUGCUAACUUUCUCUUCGUGAUAGUGUUUGUCAAGAAACUUCUGGGUGUCUGUCCUUCUCUUUAAUAGGCAGAGUCCUGUUUCAGCUUUAACUUCAUUCUGCUAAACUCUCUCUUUUUCACUGUCUCUCUCUCUGUCUUUUUGUCUGUCUCUCUCUGUCUCUCUCUGUCUCUGUCUCUCUGUCUCUCUGUCUCUCUCUCUCUGUCUCUCUCUCUCUCUCUGUCUCUCUCUCUCUCUCUGUCUGUCUCUCUCUCUCUCUCUCUCUCUCUCUCUCUCUCUCUCUCUCUCUCUCUCUCUGAUUUCUGAGACAGGAUUUCUCUGUGUAGUUCCUGGAACUAUCUCUGUCUGUAGACGAGGCUGGUCUCGAACUCACAGAGAUCUGCCUGCCUCUGCCUCCUGAGUGCUGGGAUUAAAGGUGUAAGCCACCAUCACCUGGCUUUUUUCUCUCGCUUUUAAAAAUUAUCAUUUUUAUUUGUGUGUGUGUGUGUGUGUGUGUGUGUGUGUGCCGCACAUGCCUGUGGAGGCUGGAGGAGGGCAUUACAUACAUCCCUUGGAACUGGAGUUACAAACAUUUGUCUGCUGCCCAGUGUGAGUGCUGGCAACAGAACUGUGUUCUCUGCACAGUCAGUAGCGCCCUUAGCUGCUAAGCCAGUUCUUUUUUUUUUUUUUAAAGAUUUAUUUAUUACAUAUUAAUAUAUUGUAGCUGUCUUCAGAUACACCAGAAGAAGGCAUCAGAUCUCAUUAUAAAUGGUUGUGAGCAGCCAUGUGGUUGCUGGGAUUUGAACUCAGGACCUCUGGAAGAGCAGUCAGUGCUCUUAACUUCUGAGCCAUCUCUCCAGCCCGCUAAGCCAGUUCUUAAGCCCCAUUCAAUUACUUUAUGAUCCUGUCGUGCAUGCUGUGGGGACACGUGGCCUACGUGCCCACCCAUGCUUGGCUGGCAUACCUGACUGUUAAUCGCAUGCUGGUCACUCUGACUCAAGACACACAGCUGCAAAAUAUAUUACGUUGAAGAGAUUUGGAAAAGAGAAAGAGCCCGUAAAGGGAGGCCUCUCCGACCUGCCUCUGUCCUGUGAAAAGUGUUAUCAAACCCAGGAAGGCGCUUAGCGUUGGUUACAGGGUGCACCUCUCAUCCCAGCACUUGUGAGGCAGAGCCAGGCAGAUCUCUGAGUUCAAGGCCAGCCUGGUCUACAGAGCGAGUUCCAGGACAGUCAGAGCUACACAGAGAAACCCUGUCUCAGACAAUAAAAAUGAAACAAAGACCAAGGAAUGCUUCCCCUGGACUCGAUGUGAAGCAGCUCCUACGGCUGGCCGUACCAUCCUGACACCAUUGGCCACCCAGGGACUCAGAAGAAUCCCAACAAACAGGCCUUGCCCGUUCCCAGUGUGUGGCCUUCAGACGGCACAUUUAGCUUUCUCAUACAACGGCCCACUCUUCAGACGUAACAUAAAUAUGCUGACUUAACGGUAUGAGUCAUUUCCUCAUGAAGGUGUUUAUUUCCUACAGAACUCAUAAUUAAGUUUGCAUGGUUUUUUUGUUUUGUUUUGUUUUGUUUUGUUUUUGUUUUUGUUUUUUUUUUGCUGCUCUGUCUUUUGUCACAGGGACCUUAGCCUUGAAUCUAAGAUGAGUAGAAGGAAAAAAAUGUUCUUUUUUUUUUUUUUUGUUCUUUUUUUCGGAGCUGGGGACCGAACCCAGGGCCUUGCGCUUCCUAGGCAAGCGCUCUACCACUGAGCUAAAUCCCCAACCCCGGAAAAAAAUGUUCUUACCCUCCACUCUUUAUUUUCAAAGAUCCUUCACCCAGACUGUCACCUUUACCUAACACCCCUCUUACUGGAGUUUUGUUUGCUUGAUUAUUUUUUUCUAUUCCCCCACUUUACUCGGUUGUCAAUGAUCCGU